AAGUUUUAAGCAAUGAAAAACGCACAACUAUUUAUCACCAGUUACUACAAAAAAGUGUUGAUAGAAAAUUACGUAGAGGAAUUACAAAUGUGGUGGCUUCAUCAUUUUCUAUUUCUAGGAGAACUAUUCAACGUAUUUGGAAAAGAGCAAAAGAAUGUGAAAUACAUGAUGUGUCCCAUAGGAAGACAAAAAAUUAUGGACGUAAGAG
rnacentral:lncRNA from 1 species